GAAGACAAGAAUGGGUGGCCAAGGCGAAGAAAGCUCUAAAGAAGAACAUAUGAAGAAGAUUGGCUUAUUCUUCAUCUCAGCUAGCAGCUCCGCAAAACCCGAUAUCGUCUGCUGAUUUUUUGACUGGGAAGUCAAAGCAUUUUGGGUUCAUACAGUUUGAGGACCCUGAGGUGGCGGAAAUUGCAGCGGUUGCGAUGCAUGACUAUUUGUUGCUCGAGCACAUGCUCCAAGUCCACGUUAUUCUACCAGAGCAUGUUAAACCCAAUCUGUGUCAAUACAAACUAGUGGAUUGGGUUCAAAGUAAACAACAUAACAACAAGGAAAGAACACUGGAAGAGCAUAGAAAAUUGUUGCACAAGGUAGUGAAACGAGAUCAGAAAAGGAGAAAGCGAAUCGAAGCCGCUGGUAUAGAAUAUCAAUGCCCCCAGCUUAUUGGAAAUACGCAGCCAUUACCUAAAAAGAUCAAGUUUACUGAAGACUAGGUACCUCGAAGCGGUGGAGAAGACAUCUUCCAUUAGCUUUUUUUUGGGAUAGAAUCUUGUGUGUUGUACUAAACUAUCAUUGCAAUGAAAAUUUACCAAGAGCGUAUGUUAGAU